rnacentral:hammerhead_ribozyme from 1 species
AUCCAACUGAUGACUUCCGAAUAGGAUGAAACGCGCGUCUUGAAU